AACGCACAUUGCGCCCCUUGGUAUUCCAUGGGGCAUGCCUGUUCGAGCGUCAUUUGUACCCUCAAGCUUUGCUUGGUGUUGGGCGUCUUGUCUGUUUCCUCUAGCGAUCAGACUCGCCUUAAAGUAAUUGGCAGCCAGUGUUUUUUGGUAGUAAGCGCAGCACAUUUUGCGUCUUAGUCCUUGAACAGCGGCAACCAUGAAGCCUCUUUCUCACUUUUGACCUCGGAUCAGGUAGGGAUACCCGCUGAACUUAA
rnacentral:misc_RNA from 1 species